GUUCCAGUAUGAAAAAUUCUUCUCCAUUGAUGAUUUGCCAUGUGAUGUCAAAAAUUGCAGUAGUCAGUUAGAUGUUGGUUGUAUAGAAACAUUUGAUCGUUAAAAAGUGAAAAAUGUGUUUGGCAACUUCGCUGCGUGUGAUAAACUACAGUUACAGUUGUCUAUAUUUUAGUGAUAUUAAAAGUACAUUUUGUGGAUCGCUGUAUCCCAGGAUCCAACAGCUAAGUUAGUUGAUCGCUGUAUCCCAGGAUCAUACAUCUAUCUA
rnacentral:lncRNA from 1 species